rnacentral:lncRNA from 1 species
AGAGCUCCUCUUGCCAGGAACAAAGCGACAGCCGUCUGCUGGUGAGCUGGGCUAAUCCUGUUAAACAAUUCACAGAUCUGACGCCGGACACGCUUUUUGAAACCUGAGGAACAGGAAAGGAGAUACAGUCAUGGAGGGAAGAUGGCCAUGUGAAGAAGGCAGAGAUUGGAGUGUUGUUGCCACAAGCUGAGGAAUGUCUGG